rnacentral:rRNA from 1 species
UACGUAGGGGGCAAGCGUUGUCCGGAUUUAUUGGGCGUAAAGAGCAGUGUAGGCGGCUUUACAGGUCCGUUGUGAAAACUCGAGGCUCAACCUCGAGACGCCGGUGGAAACCGUAAAGCUAGAGUCCGGAAGAGGAGAGUGGAAUUCCUGGUGUAGCGGUGAAAUGCGCAGAUAUCAGGAGGAACACCGGUGGCGAAGGCGGGUCUCUGGGCGAGUGAACUG